AUGUUGCAGCAACUGGACGACGAAGAUAGACUCAGCGCUCUAACUGAUGAUAUUUUACUGUCCAUCUUGGGGAGAGUCAGUUCACUUGUGGCUACAAGGACAAGUGUGCUCUCUACACGGUGGAGGCAUCUGCCUUGGUUGCUGCCUGAACUCAGCAUCGAUGUCCAGGAUUUCCUAUCCACUCCGUACGCUGACCUUGUUGAGGCAAAUGAUAUGGAACAAGCCAUGGCGUCUUUGACCAAAGCAACCAGGAGUUUGUUAGAUAAACAACAGAGAGGAUCCACUAUCUCAAGUUUGCGCCUUAACCUCUAUUUGAUCAACACUUUCCUUUGCGAAGUUGGCCCACUGUUAGGUGAUGCGAUCGACAGUGGUUUGUUGAAAGAUUUAAAUCUCGGCAUUCUUGAUGAGACAAAGACUCUGGACCGUAGCGACGAAGAGAUGCAACAGCGAGCUCAAGACAUAGAUGAUUUUUUCACUGCCUACCCUAGUGUGCUCCACUGCCUCACAAAGCUCUUUCUAAAAAUUGUAGGCUUUGACAAAUUGGACAUGCACCAUGUCCUGUUUGACUGCUGCAAGCAACUUAAGCAUCUAACCCUUUAUCAUUGUGAUACUGGUUCCUACUCUGUCUUUAAGAUUGAUGCGCCAGACUCAAAACUCUGUGUUCUUGAAAUUGAGAAGUGUCGCUUUCUGAGAAUCGACCUUGUCUGCCUCCCUAAAUUGGAGAAGUUCUUUUGUGAGUCUUGGAUAUCUCAGUGUGCCCCGUUGACCUUUGGUUUUGUCCCAUCACUUGGGCAAUUAGAACUCUCAUGUGGUUCAGUUUGUGAGGAAGACAUAUUUAAAUUAAGUGAGCUUCUACAUGGAGUAACAAGCAUACAUACUCUCUCAUUGGAUUUCCAAGGUGAAGCCCUUUGGUUGCAACCUGAAAUGGAGGAACUCCGCACCGCAUUCAGCAAGCUAAGGAAGCUGUACGUACGUGGUAUAUUUGUUGAAUUUGACAUUUUAUGGACAAUGGCCUUUCUUGUAGCAGCACCAUCUGUCGAAAUGUUACAUAUUGAGGUAUGGGAACAUACAUGCGAUUUGGGCGAGGCCAGACCCGCUUCCUACCUUGACAGGAGUCCAAAGUGGGAAAUGCACUUGGAUAGCAGCUCCGAGAACAAGCUUCUGAAAGAGCUAGAAUUCGCUGGAUUUAAAUCGCUAGAACAACAGUUUACAUUUAUAAGGUCCAUGUUGGAGCGAUCUCCCAACUUGCAAAAGAUAGUACUGAGAGAUGAUGAGCAGUGUGCUGAUUGUGACGCCCUUGAGGCACCUCGUCCUUCGAGAUUUCCACGCAAGGAGGAGGAGCAAGAAGUGGUUGUUAAGCGGAUUAGAGAUGGCAUGUUCUCGCCGGAGAUAAUUUUUCAUGGAUAA
rnacentral:rRNA from 1 species